GACGAACGCUGGCGGCGUGCCUAAUACAUGCAAGUCGAACGCAGUGGGGACGGGUGAGUAACACGUGGGUAACCUCCCAUCAGAGGGGAUAACACUUGGAAACAGGUGCUAAACCGAUACUGAUGGAUGGACCCGCGGUGCAUUAGCUAGUUGGUGAGGUAACGGCUCACCAAGGCCACGAUACAUAGCCAACCUUAGAUGGUAGUCGGCAACACGGUGACUGAGAGCCGGCCCAGAAUCUUACGGGGGGCAGGAGUGGGGAAUCUUCGGCAAUGGACGAAAGUCUGACCGAGCAACGCCGCGUGAGUGAAAAAGGUUUUCGGAUCGUAAAACUCUGUUGUUAGAGGAGCGGUAUCUAACCAGAAAGCCACGGCUAACUACGUGCCAGCAGCCGCGGUAAUUC
rnacentral:rRNA from 1 species